GACGAGCCGAGCGAACGUUGUUCGGAAUCACUGGGCUUAAAGGGCGCGUAGGCGGGCAUCAUAGUCUGUGGUGAAAUCCGGCAGCUUAACUGUCGAAUUGCCAUGGAUACUGGGUGUCUCGAGGGAGGCAGGGGUGCGCGGAACUGAUGGUGGAGCGGUGAAAUGCGUUGAUAUCAUCAGGAACUCCGGUGGCGAAGGCGGCGCACUGGUCCUUUUCUGACGCUGAGGCGCGAAAGCCAGGGGAGCAAACGGG
rnacentral:rRNA from 1 species